GUGCCAGCCGCCGCGGUAACACGUAGGGGGCGAGCGUUGUUCGGAAUUACUGGGCGUAAAGGGCAUGUAGGCGGCUUGGUAAGCCUGGCGUGAAAGUCUGCAGCUUAACUGUAGGGAUGCGUUGGGAACUGCUUAGCUUGAGUUACGGAGAGGGAGCUGGAAUUCCUGGUGUAGGGGUGAAAUCUGUAGAUAUCAGGAAGAACACCGAUGGCGAAGGCAAGCUUCUGGCCGACAACUGACGCUGAGGUGCGAAAGUGUGGGGAUCAAACAGGAUUAGAUACCCUGGUAGUCCACACAGUAAACGAUGUGCACGAGGUGCUGGGGCGGUAGUUUCAGUGCCGGAGCGAACGCGGUAAGUGCACCGCCUGGGGAGUAUGCUCGCAAGGGUGAAACUCAAAUAAAUUGACGG
rnacentral:rRNA from 1 species